GACGAACGCUGGCGGCGCGCUUAACACAUGCAAGUCGAACGGAAAGGCCUGCUUUCCCUUGUGGAUUGCGGGUACUCGAGUGGCGAACGGGUGAGUAACACGUGAGUGAUCUGCCCCCAACUUGGGUAUAAGCCUGGGAAACUGGGUCUAAUUCCCGAUAGGACUGCAGGGUGGUGCCUGUGGUGGCAAACGAUUUUCUAGUGGUUGGGGAUGAGCUCGCGGCCUAUCAGCUUGUUGGUGGGGUAAUGGCCUACCAAGGCGGCGACGGGUAGCCGGCCUGAGAGGGUGGACGGCCACAGUGGGACAGGGAUACGGCCCAGACUCCUACGGGAGGCAGGAGUGGGGAAUAUUGCACAAUGGGCGGAAGCCUGAUGCAGCGACGCCGCGUGGGGGAUGACGGCCUUCGGGUUGUAAACUCCUUUCGACCGAGAGGAAGCCACCUGGUUGGAAGGGUGGUGACGGUAGUGGUAGAAGAAGCACCGGCUAACUACGUG
rnacentral:rRNA from 1 species